GACGAACGCUGGCGGCGUGCCUAAUACAUGCAAGUAGAACGCUGAAGGAGGAGCUUGCUUCUCCGGAUGAGUUGCGAACGGGUGAGUAACGCGUAGGUAACCUGCCUGGUAGCGGGGGAUAACUAUUGGAAACGAUAGCUAAUACCGCAUAACAGUAGAUGUUGCAUGACAUUUGCUUAAAAGGUGCAAUUGCAUCACUACCAGAUGGACCUGCGUUGUAUUAGCUAGUUGGUGAGGUAACGGCUCACCAAGGCGACGAUACAUAGCCGACCUGAGAGGGGGAUCGGCCACACUGGGACUGCGACACGGCCCAGACUCCUACGGGAGGCAGCAGUAGGGAAUCUUCGGCAAUGGACGGAAGUCUGACCGAGCAACGCCGCGUGAGUGAAGAAGGGUUUCGGAUCGUAAAGCUCUGUUGUAAGAGAAGAACGAGUGUGAGAGUGGAAAGUUCACACUGUGACGGUACCUUACCAGAAAGGGACGGCUAACUACGUG
rnacentral:rRNA from 1 species